rnacentral:rRNA from 1 species
CCCUACGGGGGGCAGCAGUGGGGGAUAUUGCACAAUGGGGGGAACCCUGAUGCAGCGACGCCGCGUGGGUGAAGAAGCGCCUCGGCGCGUAAAGCCCUGUCGGCAGGGAAGAAAAUGACGGUACCUGAAGAAGAAGCCCCGGCUAACUACGUGCCAGCAGCCGCGGUAAUACGUAGGGGGCAAGCGUUAUCCGGAUUUACUGGGUGUAAAGGGGGCGCAGACGGCGAUGCAAGCCAGGAGUGAAAGCCCGGGGCCCAACCCCGGGACUGCUCUUGGAACUGCGUGGCUGGAGUGCAGGAGGGGCA